AGAGUUUGAUCCUGGCUCAGGACGAACGCUGGCGGCACGCCUAACACAUACAAGUCGAACGGAGAUGAUUUGAGUUUACUUAGAUCAUCUUAGUGGCGGACGGGUGAGUAACACGUGAGCAACCUGCCUUUGAGAGAGGGAUAGCUUCUGGAAACGGAUGGUAAUACCUCUUAACAUACAGAUACCGCAUGGUGACUGUAUCAAAGAUUUAUCACUCAAAGAUGGGCUCGCGUCUGAUUAGAUAGUUGGUGAGGUAACGGCUCACCAAGUCGACGAUCAGUAGCCGGACUGAGAGGUUGAACGGCCACAUUGGGACUGAGACACGGCCCAGACUCCUACGGGAGGCAGCAGUGGGGAAUAUUGCACAAUGGGGGAAACCCUGAUGCAGCGAUGCCGCGUGGAGGAAGAAGGUUUUCGGAUUGUAAACUCCUGUCUUAAAGGACGAUAAUGACGGUACCUUAGGAGGAAGCUCCGGCUAACUACGUGCCAGCAGCCGCGGUAAUACGUAGGGAGCGAGCGUUGUCCGAAAUUACUGGGUGUAAAGGGAGCGUAGGCGGGACGGCAAGUCAGAUGUGAAAUACAUGGGCUCAACCCAUGGGCUGCAUUUGAAACUGCUGUUCUUGAGUGAAGUAGAGGUAAGCGGAAUUCCUGGUGUAGCGGUGAAAUGCGUAGAUAUCAGGAGGAACACCGGUGGCGAAGGCGGCUUACUGGGCUUUUACUGACGCUGAGGCUCGAAAGCGUGGGGAGCGAACAGGAUUAGAUACCCUGGUAGUCCACGCUGUAAACGAUGAUUACUAGGUGUGGGGGGACUGACCCCUUCCGUGCCGCAGUUAACAUAAUAAGUAAUCCACCUGGGGAGUACGGCCGCAAGGUUGAAACUCAAAGGAAUUGACGGGGGCCCGCACAAGCAGUGGAGUAUGUGGUCUAAUUCGAAGCAACGCGAAGAACCUUACCAGGUCUUGACAUCGAGUGCAUAACUAAGAGAUUAGUGAAAUCCCUUCGGGGACACUUAGACAGGUGGUGCAUGGUUGUCGUCAGCUCGUGUCGUGAGAUGUUGGGUUAAGUCCCGCAACGAGCGCAACCCUUACCUUUAGUUGCUACGCAAGAGCACUCUAAAGGGACUGCCGUUGACAAAACGGAGGAAGGUGGGGAUGACGUCAAAUCAUCAUGCCCCUUAUGACCUGGGCUACACACGUACUACAA
rnacentral:rRNA from 1 species